UACGUAGGGUGCGAGCGUUGUCCGGAAUUAUUGGGCGUAAAGAGCUCGUAGGCGGUUUGUCGCGUCGGCCGUGAAAACUUGGGGCUUAACUCCAAGCUUGCGGUCGAUACGGGCAGACUUGAGUUCGGCAGGGGAGACUGGAAUUCCUGGUGUAGCGGUGAAAUGCGCAGAUAUCAGGAAGAAUAUCCGUGGCGAAGGCGGCUCUCUGGGACGGUACUGACGCUGAGACGCGAAAGCGUGGGGAGCGAACAGG
rnacentral:rRNA from 1 species